GGGUUGUGAGGUUAAGCGACUAAGCGUACACGGUGGAUGCCCUGGCAGUCAGAGGCGAUGAAGGACGUGCUAAUCUGCGAUAAGCGUCGGUAAGGUGAUAUGAACCGUUAUAACCGGCGAUUUCCGAAUGGGGAAACCCAGUGUGAUUCGUCACACUAUCGUUAACUGAAUACAUAGGUUAACGAAGCGAACCGGGGGAACUGAAACAUCUAAGUACCCCGAGGAAAAGAAAUCAACCGAGAUUCCCCCAGUAGCGGCGAGCGAACGGGGAGGAGCCCAGAGCCUGAAUCAGCAUGUGUGUUAGUGGAAGCGUCUGGAAAGGCGCGCGAUACAGGGUGACAGCCCCGUACACAAAAG
rnacentral:rRNA from 1 species